UUCAUUGAUGAGCAUGCA
rnacentral:siRNA from 1 species